UACGUAGGGUGCGAGCGUUAAUCGGAAUUACUGGGCGUAAAGCGUGCGCAGGCGGUUUUGCAAGCCGGAUGUGAAAUCCCCGGGCUUAACCUGGGAAUGGCAUUUGGGACUGCAAGGCUGGAGUGCGGCAGAGGAGACUGGAAUUCCUGGUGUAGCAGUGAAAUGCGUAGAUAUCGUAAGGAAGACCAGUGGCGAAGGCGGGUCUCUGGACAGUUCCUGACACUGAGACACGAAGGCCAGGGGAGCAAACGGG
rnacentral:rRNA from 1 species